CCUGGCGGCAGUAGCGCGGUGGUCCCACCUGACCCCAUGCCGAACUCAGAAGUGAAACGCCGUAGCGCCGAUGGUAGUGUGAGGUCUCCCCAUGCGAGAGUAGGGAACUGCCAGGC
rnacentral:rRNA from 1 species